rnacentral:rRNA from 1 species
AUUGAACGCUGGCGGCAGGCCUAACACAUGCCAGUCGAGCGAGCGGCGGACGGGUGAGUAAUGUAUGGGGACUGCCCGAUAGAGGGGGAUAACUACUGGAAAAGGUGGCUAAUACCGCAUACUAUCGGAUAACCCAUAUGGGAUUAGCUAGUAGGUGGGGUAAAGGCUCACCUAGGCGCCGCUCUCUAGCUGGUCUGAGAGGAUGAUCAGCCACAAGGAGGCUGAGAAACGGACCAGAAUCCUACGGAGGCAGCAGUGGGGAAUAUUGCACAAUGGGCGAAAGCCUGAUGCAGCCAUGCCGAGUGUAUGAAGAAGGCCUUAGGGUUGUAAAGUACUUUCAGCGGGGAGGCAUUACCCGCAGAAGAAGCACCGGCUAACUCCGUGCCAGCAGCCGCGGUAAUGC